AGCGCGAUAGAACAGUGGCAGUUCAAUUGGUCUCAUAAACCAAACCACCGUGGUUCGAUUCCACGUCGCGCGA
rnacentral:tRNA from 1 species